CUGAUCUUGCCCAAGAGUCCACAUCGACGGCAAGGUUUGGCACCUCGAUGUCGGCUCAUCGCAUCCUGGGGCUGGAGCAGGUCCCAAGGGUACGGCUGUUCGCCGUUUAAAGCGGUACGCGAGCUGGGUUCAGAACGUCGUGAGACAGUUCGGUCCCUAUCCUCCGCGGGCGCAGGAGAAUCGAGGGAGGCUGCCCCUAGUACGAGAGGACCGGGGUGGACGCACCUCUGGUGAACCGGUUGUCGACCAACGGCACGGCCGGGUAGCCACGUGC
rnacentral:rRNA from 1 species